CUGGAUUAGUGGCGCACGGGGGAGUAACACGUGGGUAACCUGCCCUCAAGCGGGGGACAACAUCGGGAAACCGGGGCUAAUACCGCAUAAGACCACGGACUGGGAUGUUUUUGGUAAAAGGAUUUAUUCACUUGAGGAUGGGCCCGCGCCCUAUCAGGUAGUUGGGGAGGUAAUGGCUCACCAAGCCUUAGACGGGUAGCCGGUCUGAGAGGAUGAACGGCCACACUGGAACUGAGACACGGUCCAGACUCCUACGGGAGGCAGCAGUGGGGAAUUUUGCGCAAUGGGGGAAACCCUGACGCAGCGACGCCGCGUGGAGGACGAAGGUCUUCGGAUUUUAAACUCCUUUUAUGAGGGAAGAUAAUGACGGUACCUCAUGAAUAAGCCACGGCUAACUCUGUGCCAGCAGCCGCGGUAAGACAGAGGGGGCAAGCGUUUUUCGGAAUUACUGGGCUUAAAGGGCGCGUAGGCGGUAUGGUAAGUCUGGAGUGGAAUCCCACGGCUCAACCGUGGAAUUGCUUUGGAAACUGCCAAACUUGAGUCAGUGAGGGGAGGGCGGAAUUCCUGGGGUAGCAGUGAAAUGCGUAGAUAUCAGGAGGAAGGCCGGGGGCGAAGGCGGCCCUCUGGCACUUGACUGACGCUGAGGCGCGAAAGCGUGGGGAGCAAACAGGAUUAGAUACCCUGGUAGUCCACGCUGUAAACGGGGAAUAUUAGGGGUUGGGCUA
rnacentral:rRNA from 1 species